rnacentral:rRNA from 1 species
GAUGAACGCUAGCGGCAGGCUUAAUACAUGCAAGUCGAGGGGCAGCAUGAGUAGCAAUACUUGAUGGCGACCGGCAAACGGGUGCGGAACACGUACACAACCUUCCUUCGAGCGGGGAAUAGCCGAGGGAAACUUGGAUUAAUACCCCCUAGUAUAUUGAAAGGGCAGCUUUUUAAUAUUAAAGAUUUAUCAAUUGAAGAUGGGUGUGGGGCGGAUUAGGUAGUUGGCAGGGUAACGGCCUACCAAGCCUACGAUCAGUAGCUUAUGUGAUAGCAUGAUCAACCACCAGGGCACUGAGCAACGGGCCCGACUCCUACCGGAGGCAGCAGUAAGGAAUAUUGGUCAAUUGCCGAAAGUCUGAACCCGCCAUGCCGCGUGGAGGAUGAAGGUCCUCUGGAUUGUAAACUUCUUUUAUAAGGGACGAAAAAAGGGUAUUCUUACUUUCUUUACGGUACCUUAUGAAUCAGCACCGGCUAACUCCGUGCCAGCAGCCGCGGUAAUAC